rnacentral:sRNA from 1 species
AGAGGACAAGAGUAGACCACAAAGAAAACAGAAUACGGGAGUGUGGAAGGAAGAGGGGGAACAAGGAAAGGAGGCAGAGGAGAGAAAGAGAGUGUAUAAAGCACAAUGGGACCAAAAGCGGGGUAAGGGGAGGACAAUGACAGAGUUGAAAGUAGCAGUGACAAUGGACAGUGGAGAAAAAGAAGAGAGGACGGGAGACAUGAGAUUAUAAGGUUCCUCCCUUGGCACUGUGUCCACAUUCCUCCCCACUCUGCCCUAACCUUCAAAACAGGAUCUCACUCCCCAGAACUCCCCUUUGUGACCCACUUGUGAUCAUUCUAGCAACUUCUUAAUACUCCAUUCCUAGCUUGCUGGGCUCAUGUCCAACUCCCCCAGCAGAAAAAAGUGCCUCAAUGUCAUUCCCAGAAGCAAAGAACAGAUUAGAGACUUCUCAAUUGUCCUGUUCACAGAGGGCGGGGCCGAAAGGGUGGAGUCAGGCUUGCUCUCCUGGUAAGCCUCCCUAGUCUUCUCUGCUUUGGUAUACAUCAACAGAUCCUAUAGGUUACUGGGCUGAGAUGGAAACUGUACAGACUACCCUCCAAGAAAGCGACAGGAGGAGAAACUGGAGCAGCAACCACAACACAACACUCCAGGGAUGAAGCAAGUCCUCGUGUGUCUGGAACAUGCCCAGCUUCUCUGCAGCAUUGUCUGCCUUACACUCCCAUUCCUAUCCAGACCCAGGACCCAGGAUCAAAAACAAGUCCUAGUCUGUGGCUUCUACCAUGGUAAGACUUCCAAGUGUUUUCCACGCCCACAAGGAGCUUCCUUUCCCCCUCCUAUGGUCCCAAUCCAAAAGUUUCCCAUGCGACAUCUGGAAGGCCUGAGACAGGCUGGCAACAAAGGGCUCACAGUACUGCACACAUGGCUCAGACAGGUACAUGCAGGGCAGGACGAACUAGUGCAGAGGCCCAAGGCAACGGCUGGUGUAAGGAAGUGGUCAUGGCAGCAAUUUAAGUGUUUAAAAGUCCAUGGAGAGGAGGUGGGCAUGAUGGGCCCACCUGUAAUUCCAGCACUAAGGCUGAAGCAGGAGGACUGCCACAGAUUCUAGGCUAGCCUGGUCUACAUAGUGAAUUCUGGACUAGCCUGAGCUACAAUGUAAGACCCUCUCAAAAGACCUAAAGAAAAGUCUGUGGAAGCAAGGGGGUGGAA